rnacentral:tRNA from 1 species
GGGCCGAUAGCUCAGCUGGGAGAGCGCCGCGUUCGCAAUGCGGAGGUCGGGAGUUCGAGCCUCCUUCGGUCCACCA